UACGGGGGGGGCAAGCGUUGCUCGGAAUCACUGGGCGUAAAGCGCACGUAGGCCGAUUGUUAAGUCAGGGGUGAAAUCCUGGAGCUCAACUCCAGAACUGCCCUUGAUACUGACGGUCUCGAGUCCGGGAGAGGUGAGUGGAACUGCGAGUGUAGAGGUGAAAUUCGUAGAUAUUCGCAAGAACACCAGUGGCGAAGGCGGCUCACUGGCCCGGUACUGACGCUGAGGUGCGAAAGCGUGGGGAGCAAACAGG
rnacentral:rRNA from 1 species